GGUCGGUUAGCUCAGUUGGUUAGAGCGCAUCCUUGACAUGGAUGAGGUCGGAGGUUCGAGUCCUCUAUCGACCAC
rnacentral:tRNA from 2 species